CACCGGCGCCACAAGUGGUCAUCACGAUUAUUGGGCCUAAAGCGUUCGUAGCCGGUUUGGUAAAUCUCUUGUGAAAUUGUGCAGCUUAACUGUACAGCGCGCAGGGGACACUGCCAGACUCGAGACCGGGAGGGGGCAGAAGUAUUCCGUGGGGACCGGUAAAAUGGGAUAAUCCACGGAGGACUACCGAUGGCGAAGGCAUCUGUCCAGAACGGAUCUGACGGUGAGGAACGAAAAGCCAGGGGAGCGA
rnacentral:rRNA from 1 species